rnacentral:rRNA from 1 species
CCUACGGGAGGCAGCAGUGGGGAAUAUUGCGCAAUGGGCGAGAGUCUGAACCAGCCAAGUAGCGUGAAGGAUGACUGCCCUAUGGGUUGUAAACUUCUUUUAUAAAGGAAUAAAACGAGGCACGUGUGCCUUUUUGCAUGUACUUUAUGAUUAAGGAUCGGCUAACUCCGUGCCAGCCGCCGCGGUAAUACGGUGGAUCCGAGCGUUAUCCGGAUUUAUUGGGUUUAAAGGGAGCGUAGAUGGGUUGUUAAGUCAGUUGUGAAAGUUUGCGGCUCAACCGUAAAAUUGCAAUUGAUACUGGCAGUCUUGAGUACAGUUGAGGUAAGCGGAAUUCGUGGUGUAGCGGUGAAAUGCUUAGAUAUCACGAAGAACCCCGAUUGCGAAGGCAGCUUACUAAACUGUGACUGACAUUGAUGCUCGAAAGUGUGGGUAUCAAACAGGAUUAGAUACCCCAGUAGUC